UUCCCUUUUCCUUCCAUUAAAUUGAAUUCGUCUUUAAUAGCAACGAUUAUAGGGCCACAAUUUACUUCGCUUCUGGACCAGCGACCAGCCAUCACCUGGAAAACAAACAUUCGCAUUUGGCCAUCUUUUAAUUAACAACUUUGGACAGGGCCACAUUAGGCGUACAAGCAGCAUACAUACAUAUGUGAAUGUGAAUAAAGAUGUAAACUUCAGUCGAGCACACAAAGUUUCCAGCGCUUGGGAGCCGAAGUAAUUAACAUAAGGGCAGCCAGGACUCGCACGGCAGGACAUUUGGCCUCGUUCCGGCUCAAAACUAAACACAAUAAUUUGCUUUUAAUUUAGCAUUUUCCGGCAACCGAAUAACUUCACUUCAACUAUGUGGGUGGCCGAAGGUGGGGAAAUGAAAUUUGGCUUUGCGGACGUAGGCAACAUAUCAAUGAAGGUUUUUUUCUGGCCACACAACGGACUCCUAGUCCCAGGAGCCCUCGGGAGGGAUUCGGAUCCCCAGGACUCAUCAACAACGGCAAUCGUCAUUAGCAGGAACCACAAUCCUCGGCCGGGAUGCAGGAUGCGACACUGCGAGAAAAUUCCCUUUCAUCAUUGCUCGAAAUGGGCUGGUUUUUUGGCUUAAAUCAGAAAACUUCCCUGAAACCAAUUUAUAUAAACCCAAGUACUUUUGGUGUAAUAGCAUCUAAAAUGUUGUUUAAAUAUAUUAUAUAUAAGCAAAUUA